AUUGAACGCUGGCGGCAGGCCUAACACAUGCAAGUCGAGCGGAUGAAGGGAGCUUGCUCCUGGAUUCAGCGGCGGACGGGUGAGUAAUGCCUAGGAAUCUGCCUGGUAGUGGGGGAUAACGUCCGGAAACGGGCGCUAAUACCGCAUACGUCCUGAUGUAGAAAGUGGGGGAUCUUCGGACCUCACGCUAUCAGAUGAGCCUAGGUCGGAUUAGCUAGUUGGUGGGGUAAAGGCCUACCAAGGCGACGAUCCGUAACUGGUCUGAGAGGAUGAUCAGUCACACUGGCACUGAGAAACGGUACAGACUCCUACGGGAGGAAGCAGUGGGGAAUAUUGGACAAUGGGCGAGAGGCUGAUACAGCCAAGCCGGGUGUGUGAAGAAGGUCUUCGGAUUGUAAAGCAAUUUAAGUUGGGAGGAAGGGAAGUAAGUUAAUACCUUGCUGUUUUGACGUUACCAACAGAAUAAGCACCGGCUAACUUCGUG
rnacentral:rRNA from 1 species